CAGUAGCCGCGGGAAUACGAAGGGGGCUAGCGUUGCUCGGAAUUACUGGGCGUAAAGGGAGCGUAGGCGGACACUUAAGUCAGGGGUGAAAUCCCAGAGCUCAACUCUGGAACUGCCUUUGAUACUGGGUGUCUUGAGUGUGAUAGAGGUAUGUGGAACUCCGAGUGUAGAGGUGAAAUUCGUAGAUAUUCGGAAGAACACCAGUGGCGAAGGCGACAUACUGGAUCAUUACUGACGCUGAGGCUCGAAAGCGUGGGGAGCAAACAGGAUUAGAUACCCCAGUAGUCCCUGUCUCUUAUAC
rnacentral:rRNA from 1 species